GGGCCUCUAGCUCAACUGGCAGAGCAGCGGACUUUUAAUCCGCGGGUUGCGAGUUCGAAUCUCGCGGGGCCCA
rnacentral:tRNA from 1 species